UUAACGGGGGCCCGCCAUGACGCCCGCGUCCCCGAAACGGUGAAGACUCCGGAGGCUCGCGCGGCUGGACCGUGCCGUGGCUGCGGCUGUAGUGAUGAUGAUGAUGAAGCUGGAUAUCAAUUUACGUCAAUUGGAACCACAUGAUGCAGUGCGGACAUAAAGCGACGCUCGUCUGCCAUCUGCUGGUCAGAGUGUGACACUGCAGCGUUCCACAGACCACGCAACUCCAGCACUGUACAAAAGAGAUUGAAAUAAAAAAGCACCGACACUUUUGAUCUUUAAAAGGUA